UUGUUCGAGGUGAGGAAAGUCCGGGCUCCGCAUGGGGAAAGGCUGGGUAACGCCCAGAAGUCGUAAGGCUUGGAAAGUGCAACAGAAAACAUACCGCCAGAGAUGGUAAGGGUGAAAAGGCGAGGUAAGAGCUCACCGCAUAUGUGGCGACACAGAUGGCAUUGUAAACCCCCUUUGGAGCAAGAUCAAAUAUUGGGUCAUCCCAUGUAUUGCCCAGUGGUAGAUCGCUUGAGGGUAGUGGUAACACUGCUCCUAGAUAGAUGGUUGCAUAAACAGAACCCGGCUUAUGAUAUGCCU
rnacentral:RNase_P_RNA from 1 species